rnacentral:rRNA from 1 species
GACGAACGCUGGCGGCGUGCCUAAUACAUGCAAGUAGAACGCACAGUUUAUACCGUAGCUUGCUACACCAUAGACUGUGAGUUGCGAACGGGUGAGUAACGCGUAGGUAACCUGCCUGGUAGCGGGGGAUAACUAUUGGAAACGAUAGCUAAUACCGCAUAAUAUUAAUUAUUGCAUGAUAAUUAAUUGAAAGGUGCAAUUGCACCACUACCAGAUGGACCUGCGUUGUAUUAGCUAGUAGGUGAGGUAACGGCUCACCUAGGCGACGAUACAUAGCCGACCGGAGAGGGUGGUCGGCCACACUGGGACUGAGACACGGCCCAGACGCCUACGGGAGGCAGCAGGAGGGAAUCUUCGGCAAUGGACGAAAGUCUGACCGAGCAACGCCGCGUGAGUGAAGAAGGUUGUCGGAUCGUAAAGGUCUGUUAUAAGAGAAGAACGGGUGUGAGAGUGGAAAGUUCACACUGUGACGGUAUCUUACCAGAAAGGGACGGCUAACUACGUG